CUCGGCCUCCCAAAGUGCCGGGAUUACAGGCGUGAGCCACCGCGCCCGGCCCACAGGCUGCAUUUUAAUAACACUCUCUGGUGAUUUGUACGCUUGUGUGUUGGAGACCUAUUAUAUUUGCCUAACUGUCGUUCUCUGCUUCAGGAAAUCUGUCAUUUAUCUGUUUCAGGAAAUGCUCUGACUCCAACACAUAAGGUUGGUUGCAUUUUCCCUGAUACAGAAGUGGGUGUAUAACUAAGUUAAGCUAUUUAGAGUAUGCUAUCCCUGUAAACAGAGUAAUUUGUCCAUUGCUGGGCAUGUGUAAGCAAGACCAAUCAGAGUCCAUUUUUUCAGAAAAAUAUGGGUGGUGGGAGAAAGGAAAUGCUCCUCUCUCUGGGAUUAUUAGCUGUAUGGAUAAUGCAAAUCCAAAAAUUGCUGUGGCCAUCUUUGCUGCAACAUAAAGGAAAGUUCUCUGAAGUGAUUCCAGAAAAGAGGAGGACAGAAGUCAGAGAUGGAGAGAGAUAGACCCUUGAUGACAUCAAAUGAGCCUCUGGAUCCAGCUCUGCCUGAAGUCAUCUGCCCCAUGAUUUUCAGCAGAGAACAGAGGAGAGAUGAGGCAAAAGGGAAUAUUAGACAGAUUCAAAGCUUGAAAAGGACUUGAUCCACUAUGAGGCCAUUAAUGAAGGAAUGCAGGCUGCCUGUAACAGUUGAAAAUCACCCCAGCCAACACCCAGCAAGGAAAUGGAGACCAUAGUCCUCUAACUGUAUGGAACUGAAUUCUGCCAACAAAGUGAAUAAGAUGGGAAGUGAAGACCCUCCCAGAGCCUCCAGAAAGGAAGAGAGCCAUUCAGACACCUUGAUUUCAGCCUUCUGAAACUUGGAGCAGAGAGCCGGCUGUGUCAACCUGAACCUGGGUUUUUAACCUACAAAACUGAGAAAUAAUGAAUAGUGAUUUUUUUUUUUAAAGAUGGAGUCUAGCUCCGUCACCCAGGCUGGAGUGCAGUGGCACGAAUAGUGAUUGUUUUAAGCCACUAAAUUUAUGGUAGUUUUGUUAGGGCAGCAAUAGAAAACUAAUACAUAUGUAAUAUAGCAUUUUAUAAACUAAAAUGUCAGGCAAAUAUGUGCUCUUAUAAUUUGAUAUUGCUAUCUAUUAGAGACAUUGGGUUAAAGAAUAUACUGAACCAAUGUUGUAUUUAUUAUAAGAAAGAUAAGGGUGGGAGAUGGAAAAAAUGAUGUUAAACUCAUGAAUUUAGUUUGCUUUGCAAAUGUUUAACUUUGAGGUUGCUUUUUUCCAGAUCCCUGGAGAUUUGGCCUUUCGGCAUACAGAGAGGUUUUAUUAAAGCUGAAGUCCCUUGUAAAAGCUUUUAAUAGCUUCCUUUAAAAAAAUCACCUAAACUCUCUGUUCUGUGCUAUUCCUCUAAAUGCAAGAAAGCACAAAGAUACUGAAGAAACACAGAGACAAAAUUAAAUCAGGGGCUCUCCUAGCUCCUCCAUUAUUCAAAGCACUUAGUGGACUAUAAAUGAUUUAGAAGUGAUACAACUAGACUUUUCAGAGUAAAUAGUUUUCAUUUUCCUGAUUGGUAAUCAGGAGAAAGAAGAUUCCAUAUUCCCAUCAGCAGAGAUUUAGAAUUAUCUUUUGCCAAAAAUGAAAGAGCUCUUUCUUCCUGUGUAGUCCUUUUAAAU
rnacentral:lncRNA from 10 species